rnacentral:rRNA from 1 species
CCUACGGGAGGCAGCAGUAGGGAAUAUUGGUCAAUGGAGGCAACUCUGAACCAGCCAUGCCGCGUGCAGGAAGAAGGCCCUUGGGUUGUAACGUUUAAAAUACUGCGUAGGUGUACCGUCAGAAUAAGCCACGGCUAACUACGUGCCAGCAGCCGCGGUAAUACGUAGGUGGCAAGCGUUGUCCGGAUUUAUUGGGUUUAAAGGGUGCGUAGGCGGCCUUGUAAGUCAGCGGUGAAAACUUACAGCUUAACUGUAAGACUGCCAUUGAUACUGCAGGGCUUGAAUUCAAACGAGGUUGGCGGAAUUAAAGGUGUAGCGGUGAAAUGCAUAGAUAUCUUUAAGAACACCGAUAGCGAAGGCAGCUAACUAGAAUGAAUUGACGCUGAGGCACGAAAGCGUGGGGAGCAAACAGGAUUAGAUACCCCAGUAGUC